rnacentral:misc_RNA from 1 species
UGACAGGCUGGUCUUAAAUGCAUUAGCUGAUCCAUGCUUGUGUACUUGGUUCUACUCGGCGUGAUAAUUAUCUGACCGCUGAGGACAUUUGCCUUGUUGCGAAUGGCCAGGUGUACCUUGGGUUGCUUCCAAUCGUGGUUACACCACAAUAUUUUUUCAACUUUGACCUCGAAUCAGGUGGGACUACCCGCUGAACUUAA